GAUGAACGCUGGCGGCGUGCCUAAUACAUGCAAGUCGAGCGAACAGACGAGGAGCUUGCUCCUCUGACGUUAGCGGCGGACGGGUGAGUAACACGUGGAUAACCUACCUAUAAGACUGGGAUAACUUCGGGAAACCGGAGCUAAUACCGGAUAAUAUAUUGAACCGCAUGGUUCAAUAGUGAAAGACGGUUUUGCUGUCACUUUUAGAUGGAUCCGCGCCGCAUUAGCUAGUUGGUAAGGUAACGGCUUACCAAGGCAACGAUGCGUAGCCGACCCGAGAGGGUGAUCGGCCAAACUGGAACUGAGACACGGACAAGACACCUACGGGAGGCAGCAGUAGGGAAUAUUCCGCAAUGGGCGAAAGCCUGACGGAGCAACGCCGCGUGAGUGAUGAAGGUCUUCGGAUCGUAAAACUCUGUUAUUAGGGAAGAACAAAUGUGUAAGUAACUAUGCACGUCUUGACGGUACCUAAUCAGAAAGCCACGGCUAACUACGUG
rnacentral:rRNA from 1 species